rnacentral:rRNA from 1 species
CCCUUAGAUGUUCUGGGCUGCACGCGCGCUACACUGAUGCGUUCAACGAGUAUACAACCUUGAUCGAUAGGUCUGGGUAAUCUUUUGAAUGCGCAUCGUGCUAGGGAUAGACUGUUGCAAUUUUCAGUCUUGAACGAGGAAUUCCUAGUAAACGCAAGUCAUCAGCUUGCAUUGAUUACGUCCCUGCCCUUUGUACACACCGCCCGUCGCACCUACCGAUUGAGUGAUCCGGUGAAUAAUUCGGACUUGUUUAUGUCGUAAGAUAUAUUACGAGGAAGUUUAGUGAAUCUUAUCACUUAGAGGAAGGAGAAGUCGUAACA